ensembl:lncRNA
UGUGAAGUCUAGGGAGUCACAUCAAAUAUAUAAUUCCUUGUGUCCAGGGAGGGUGUGCUUCUAUGUCAGAGAGAAAAAUAGUUCACACACAUAGGAGAAAGAAUAGAAACGAGAAUGAUCCCUAAGGUGAUCGGCUCACUCACUUAGCUAACAUUUAUCACGUCAGUGCUAAUCCUGGGCACUGGGCCAGAUAGCAGAGAUACGUUGGGGCCAGGGAUCCAACCUGCAUCCUCAUGGAUACUAGUCGGGUUCAUUUCCACUGAGCCACAGUAGGAACUCCCCAAUUUGUCUUUUUAAUGUGAAGCAUAGAAACUUCCUCCAGGCCUUGGAUUCCAAACCCCUAUACCUAACAGUCCGUUUAGACGAUGGAACUAAACAAGCAUUGUAACUCCAGGGAGCUUCCUGGUUUCACCAUCCCUUUUUUGCCUCUUAGGGGCCAGACAAUGCUAGGUUCAUGGGAGACCUAGCCAGAAAACUGGCACGUCAAUUAAUCUGUAGUUAACCACAGCAGUAAAUGAAGACAAAGGAAAUGCAGAUGUACGUCGGGGAGAAACUUUGAGUGGUUCCAUCAGUAGUGACUCAUGGUGUUGAGCUACAGGAAUAUUUUCCUCCACACAGUCUCCCCGUGCCCUCUGUGACCCUGGAGCAGAAUGUGAGGAUGACUGUCAGGCUUGGGGUGGGUUCUGUGGUCAUGGCUGUGAAGAUUGGCCCCAUGGAUGCUAAUCCAGCUGACACAUAUUUUAAGAAACAUGUAUUGCGGAAAGUGGCACGGUGUUCGUUUACGGCAUGGUGGUAAUUAAGAGAGUGAAUUGCAUAUUAAAAAGCCUAAGACAGCAGAAGAGCAGUUUCUGGCUUCUCCACGUUUGGGCUGCAGAAUCAGAGGAGGCAGGGGAGACGGAGGGAAGAGACAGCGCUACGAGCUGGAGUUCUGGCCUGAGCUCUGCCUCCCUUGGCCCUGUAAUGCAGGAAGCCCCUUCUCUAAUCCCUGUGGGUCUCCCGUUCCCCGCCCACCAUCUGGGUGAUUACGUCUCAGGAGUAUUCCUUGAGAGCGUGUCUCAUCUUUUCUCUCCCGUUCGCUUCGUUGCUUCGUCCCUCUGACUUUUGUCCCCUCCCACCCGCUCAGUCCAUUCAGCAGUUCCGAUUUCUACAAGAACGUGCCUCCUUGUGUCCUGGUUGCUGAAUGUGGAGUGGCGUGCCCUGCCUCUCCACCGGCGCUUGCACUGAUGGUCUUGGCUGGGCAGCAGAGGCUGCUGGCAGGAGCCUGAGAGGGAACGCACCGUGGUAGCAGCAUGAAAGAAUUUGGCAAGGAGGUGCUUGCCACAUGAUUGUGAUUCAUACUGUACUCUCAAAGUGUGGCAAGAGGGCUAGGAAAGGCUUUUAAUGCCAGCACACAAAGAGCAAAGACACUCAUUUUCAAACAUCACAUUCUUUUUAUAGUACAGGCAUGCCUCAUAGGGAAAAUAUUGAACUUGGCCUGCCAGCACCACGAGAGUCGUCCCAACUGUGAUUUUAUUGCUUGAGUCACUCCCUGAAUCAGAUACUGGCUGCACGGAGGAAGUUUUCUAUUAGGGAUGCUUUGAAAUGGUGUUUUUAAUUAAUUAACACCGACGCUGGGCUGGGUUUUCAUUUACUUCUAGCUGAUUGCUUUUUUCUUUCCUUGCCUGCACCUUUUUUGGACGUUUCCUCAAGGUCUCCGCUGGAUCAUUUCUGAGUGUCUUGGUGAAAGAGUCAUCUGUGUCGGCUGAACAAUGCGAGGAACUCUUCAAAGUAGAGUUCCCCAUCUCUGAAUGAAUCUGAUACAUGGGAACAGUGGAGUCCGGGGACCGGGGCUCUGAAAAGUCUGGCAUAAUGCUUUUUGAUCCCUUCAGCCGUCCUCAAUUCAUUCAUCCUGUUGUUAAAACUUAAAACUAGAGCUGGCCAGCUGUUGGGAAAAGUCCUCAAUUUUAUUUCAACCAAAUGCUGCUGCCUCCUGGGGCUGGGAGGGGGCUGACUCCAAGCACAAUUAUAAAUGUGUAGCUCUUGCGGGCGGCGGAAACCUACAAAAUGGCCUUGAUUCACAGGGCGCCUUUGGCUCAAAGGCUCUCUGCUUCCCGUGUGCCAUAAAUCUGUAUCUGCAUCAAAAAGUGUAAAGGCUGCAGUGUAUAGAAGUGCCUCUUCCUCUGAGUGUGUCUGUGACAGAUUUAUACUGAUGGCUAUCCCGCUCCACAGUCACCGAUCCCUAUUAGAGGCAUGCUCCACUAACGCAGCCCCCAUUUCCUGGAGACGGGGAGACAAGGUCCUGCGUGAAGGAAGAAGGGUUGAAAUUACAGCGCCACUCUCUAAUCGCUGUUAGUGCAGCAGACCUCGAAGGGCCGCAGCAAGACCCUCUCUGUUCCUGCCACAUCCUCCCUCUUCCCGCUGCUGUGGUUGCAGCCUGAGACCCAGGGUGUUCGGCCUUAGUUCAGGAUCUGCCAGGACAGGGCACCCCAGAAUCCAGCGUUGUCUGAGUACAGGCCAAACAUACCUGGACAAAGAAAGAAGUCACCUCUUGUUAGCAUUUUUGAUGUCUUCCAUGUGAGGGCAUUUUGUUCCGGAACACACAAGUGUAAGACGUGAG